rnacentral:lncRNA from 1 species
GUACAGCUUCUGUCUUAUGUUAUAAUUUAAAACUUUGAUGCGAUCUUUAACAGAAAUACCUCAAUUGCAGGAGUGCAACAUCACAAGUAUGGAUGAUUACUGCAAUCUACACUUCCGCCACCUUGGACAGGCAGGUCCCCAAAGGCUUACAGUUAAAGCAGGUGCCAUCAACGAAUCACCUGUGACAAUGGGCCUCAUCUUUAACAGAGUGGACCUGGUGGAGAGGAUGUGUUGGGCUUGUUUCUUCAGUCUUCUCUUCACCCUGUGGAGUUUCUAAGGAACAAUAUUGAUUCUCCUUGCAUUCCUUCAAAUUCCUCCUGAGUUCUGUCACUCAAUAAUACGGCAUUCCUGUCAUCCUAAAAGGAUCCAAGAUGGACAUAGCAAAUCAGCAAUGAAUGCAUCCUUCCUUCAUUUAUUUUGUUUAAUAAGGUAAUAUUGGUCUUCCGUCACUACUGUCAGAUUCGAG